rnacentral:rRNA from 1 species
GACAGAGGGUGCAAACGUUGCUCGGAAUUACUGGGCGUAAAGCGCGUGUAGGUGGACCUGCAAGUCGGACGUGAAAGCCCUGGGCUCAACCCAGGAACUGCAUCCGAAACUGCGGGCCUGGAGUGGUGGAGAGGGAAGCAGAAUUCCUGGUGUAGAGGUGAAAUUCGUAGAUAUCAGGAGGAACACCGGUGGCGAAGGCGGCUUCCUGGACACUUACUGACGCUGAGACGCGAAAGCGUGGGGAGCAAACAGGG